AGGGUGGCUACCCUGCUCUUAAAAUAGAAGGGGUUAAAAGCAGCCCUGGAGAGGGCUGUGGCUGGGGAUGGCUUAUUGGGGAAGCAACUGCAGCUGGGCCACACCGCAAUCAGGCCCCAGCUGGCCUGUAUAAAAAGGCUGGGUUCAUCCGAUGAAGUGAGCUGUAGCUCACGAAAGCU